rnacentral:lncRNA from 1 species
CCUGACACAGGUGCAGCACCUGAAAAUUCAGUUAGAGUUGUUGAAAUACAGUUAAUUGUUUAUGCCAGCUGACUAGAUGAGCAUCAGAUUGUUUUUAUUCUUAUUUCAUGAAAUACAAGGAUAUAAUAAGUGUAUGUCAUAAGAACUUAAUAGCAGAAGAGGAAAACAGAAACUUGCUUAUAAAUGCAGAUUUUGUGCUAUUUCUUAAAAAUGUUUAGGAUGAUAAAAAUUUAAUGGAAAUAUUCAAGAUGGUGCUAAUACGACAUAGAAGAGAAACUCAGCACAAAAUCUCAGUCAGCCUGAAGGCAAUUUGGUUUUCAGAAUUGCAUGUCCAUUGGUGAAAAAAAUAUAUAUAUAUUAAAAAAAAUCUGUUCACUGUAAGUGUAUAGAAUGCUCCUAAACUCCAUAUAAGCUGUAUUAACAUGUGUUGAAUUUUACAAACUACACAAAAAUUUACUGAUUUAGUAAUUGACUGCUUGUUGCACCCUCAUAACCUUCAAUGGAUUAGCCACCUGGGGCAAUGACAUAUUACUUUUAUGGAAUGAUUGAUCCAUUUUUAUUUCUAUGCACACUUCUGGAGCUCUGCUUGUUAUUAGUCUGUAUACAAAGGCUUUAUACAAACAGUGUUUUCAAACUGAUAUCUCAUUCACAACUUCCUCUUUAAAUUAUUUUUAUUUAUGUCACUUACUGUGUAUUUUAAUGUGGAGGGAUAAUCUGAAUAAACAUCACCAUAAUUUUCCACCUUAGGUUAAAACUGUGUAGUUUUAUUUAGAUAAAGACUUUCUUAUAGAGGUACUACUGAUGAAAAAUAAGCUGCAUAACCCAAUUAAAUUGGGCUUGUUUAAAAAGUAUACUCAAUUCUUUCACUUAUCUGGUGUGAGAGAAAGAAUUUAUUUGGGACUAUUUCAGGUACCAUGCAAAGGCAAGACCACAGCCUUAGAAUUUGAAGGAGCUAUGAGUGGUGUGGAAAGUCAAAGCAAAAUUCUGCUAAUACAGACACGUUAAUAAAUAACAGAUCCUUCCAAGUAUCUUAGGUUUUACAGGUAACAUUAUAAUCUACCCUCCUGGAUAUUUUCUGUGUGACGUUACUUUUGAGCUUAGCCCACCUCAGCAUCAUGUGUGGGAGAGUGCAACAACCUGAAUGUUUUAAGAAUAAAUAAAUAGAUAAAUAAAAAAUCA